rnacentral:rRNA from 1 species
UACGAGGGGGGCUAGCGUUAUCCGUCUUGAAUGGGCCUAAAGUGGUCUGUAGGCUGCUUGUAAAGGUAAAAAGUAUUACAACUAGCAGCUAGAGUGGAAUUGGGGAAUCAGGGAACUCCAGGAGUAGGGAUAGAAUCCGGUGAUCCCUGGAAGACCGCUAUGGCGAAGGCCCUAUUCUAAGUAACCACUGACGCUGAGAGACUAAGAGUGUGGGGAGCGAAGAGG